AGCGAACGCUGGCGGCAGGCUUAACACAUGCAAGUCGAGCGGGCGUAGCAAUACGUCAGCGGCAGACGGGUGAGUAACGCGUGGGAACGUACCUUUUGGUUCGGAACAACACAGGGAAACUUGUGCUAAUACCGGAUAAGCCCUUACGGGGAAAGAUUUAUCGCCGAAAGAUCGGCCCGCGUCUGAUUAGCUAGUUGGUAGGGUAAUGGCCUACCAAGGCGACGAUCAGUAGCUGGUCUGAGAGGAUGAUCAGCCACAUUGGGACUGAGACUACGGCCCAAACUCCUACGGGAGGCAGCAGUGGGGAAUAUUGGACAAUGGGGGCAACCCUGAUCCAGCCAUGCCGCGUGAGUGAUGAAGGCCCUAGGGUUGUAAAGCUCUUUUGUGCGGGAAGAUAAUGACGGUACCGCAAGAAUAAGCCCCGGCUAACUUCGUGCCAGCAGCCGCGGUAAU
rnacentral:rRNA from 1 species